rnacentral:rRNA from 1 species
AACGAACGCUGGCGGCAUGCCUAACACAUGCAAGUCGAACGAGACCUUCGGGUCUAGUGGCGCACGGGUGCGUAACGCGUCGGAACCUGCCCUUAGACUCCGAAUAACUCCCCGACGGGGGUGCUAAUGCCGGAAAAUGUACUCGGACAAAAGAUAUAUCGCAUUUGGGUGAGCACGCGUUGGAUUAGCUUGUUGGUAUGGUAAAAGCCUACCAAGGCGACGAUCCAUAGCUGGGCUGAGAGGAUGAUCAGCCACACUGGGACUGAGACACGGCCCAGAAUCCUACGGGAAGCAGCAGUGGGGAAUAUUGGACAAUGGGGGAGAGCCUGAUCCAGCAAGGCCGCGUGAGUGAUGAAGGCCGUAGGGUUGUAAAGCUCGUUUACCCGGGAUGAUAAUGACAGUACCGGGAGAAUAAGCUCCGGCUAACUCCGUG